rnacentral:rRNA from 1 species
AUUGAACGCUGGCGGCAUGCCUUACACAUGCAAGUCGAACGGUAACAGGCCGCAAGGUGCUGACGAGUGGCGAACGGGUGAGUAAUGCAUCGGAACGUGCCCAGUCGUGGGGGAUAACUGCUCGAAAGAGCAGCUAAUACCGCAUACGACCUGAGGGUGAAAGCGGGGGACCGUAAGGCCUCGCGCGAUUGGAGCGGCCGAUGUCAGAUUAGCUAGUUGGUGGGGUAAAGGCCUACCAAGGCAACGAUCUGUAGUUGGGCUGAGAGGACGACCAGCCACACUGGGACUGAGACACGGCCCAGACUCCUACGGGAGUCAGCAGUGGGGAAUUUUGGACAAUGGACGCAAGUCUGAUCCAGCCAUGCCGCGUGCGGGAAGAAGGCCUUCGGGUUGUAAACCGCUUUUGUCAGGGAAGAAACGCUCUGGGUUAAUACCUCGGGGUAAUGACGGUACCUGAAGAAUAAGCACCGGCUAACUACGUGCCAGCCGCCGCGGUAAUAC